rnacentral:rRNA from 1 species
CCUACGGGUGGCAGCAGUGGGGAAUAUUGCACAAUGGGGGAAACCCUGAUGCAGCGACGCCGCGUGAGUGAAGAAGUAUUUCGGUAUGUAAAGCUCUAUCAGCAGGGAAGAAAAUGACGGUACCUGACUAAGAAGCCCCGGCUAACUCCGUGCCAGCAGCCGCGGUAAUACGGAGGAUGCGAGCGUUAUCCGGAUUUAUUGGGUUUAAAGGGUGCGUAGGCGGGCUGUUAAGUCAGCGGUCAAAUGGCGGGGCUCAACCCCGGCCUGCCGUUGAAACUGGCGGCCUCGAGUGGGCGAGAAGUAGGCGGAAUGCGUGGUGUAGCGGUGAAAUGCAUAGAUAUCACGCAGAACUCCGAUUGCGAAGGCAGCAUACCGGCGCCCGACUGACGCUGAGGCACGAAAGCGUGGGUAUCGAACAGGAUUAGAGACCCCAGUAGUC